rnacentral:RNase_MRP_RNA from 1 species
GGGCGUUCUGAAGACCUGCUCUCUAGGCUACAUGCUGAGGGCGCCGGUUCCUCCAGGGCUCCCGAGCCCGCCUAGGGGAAAGUCCCCGGACCCCGGGCAGAGAGUGCCGCUCGCUCCGCAGCGUGCAGUGACCCGCCUCGCCGGCUCACGUUCUCCCCGCCGAGAAGCCCCCCGGGCUGAGCGGGUGGGCGCGGGAUGGGCUGCCCGUCACUCCCACAGGAACGCAGGUAGUGCGCAGGCGUGUUCCCGCCGCCGCACCAACAGAACGGGGCUCAUUCUCAGAACGCC